rnacentral:rRNA from 1 species
AGAGAGUUCGAUUAUGGCUCAGAUUGAACGCUGGCGGGGAUGCUUUACACAUGCAAGUCGAACGGCAGCACGGACUUCGGUCUGGUGGCGAGUGGCGAACGGGUGAGUAAUGUAUCGGAACGUGCCUAGUAGCGGGGAUAACUACGCGAAAGCGUGGAAGCAUACCGCAUACGCCCUUCGGGGAAAGUGGGGACCUUUCGGCCUGCACUAUUAGAGCGGCCGAUAUCGGAUUAGCUAGUUGGUGGGGUAACGGCUCACCAAGGCGACGAUCCGUAGCUGGUUUGAGAGGACGACCAGCCACACUGGGACUGAGACACGGCCCACUCCUACGGGAGGCAGCAGUGGGGAAUUUUUGGACAAUGGGGAAACCCUGAUCCAGCCAUCCUGGCGUGUGCGAUGAAGGCCUUCGGGUUGUGAAGCACUUUUGGUGCAGUGAAAAAAGAAACGGCACGGAUAAUACCCCGUGCAACUGACGGUACCUGCAGAAUAAGCACCGGCUAACUACGUGCCAGCAGCCGCGGUAAUACGUAGGGGUGCGCGUUAAUCGGAAUUACUGGGCGUAAAGCGUGCAGGCGGUUCGGAAAGAAAGAUGUGAAAUCCCAGAGCUUAACUUUGGAACUGCAUUUUUAACUACCGAGCUAGAGGUGUCAGAGGGAGGUGGAAUUCCGCGUGUAGCAGUGAAAUGGUGUAGAUAUGCGAGAACACCGAUGGUGGCAGCUCUGGGAUAACACUGACGCGCGCUCAUGACGAAAGCGUGGGGAGCAAACAGGAUUAGAGUAUCUUCGGUAGUCCAUGUCUUAAACGAUGUCAACUAGCUGUUGGGGCCUUCGGGCCUUGUGGUAGCGCAGCGCCAACGCGUGAAGUUGACCGCCUGGGGAGUACGGUCGCAAGAUUAAAACUCAAAGGAAUUGACGGGGACUCCGCACAAGCGGUGGAUGAUGUGGAUUAAUUCUGAUGCAACGCGAAAAACUCCAUCACCCUUGACAUGUCUGGAAUCCCGAAGAGAUUUGGGAGUGCUCAAAAGAGAACCGGAACACAGGUGUUGCAUGGCUGUCGUCAGCCUGUGUCGUGAGAUGCUGGGUUAAGUCCUGCAACGAGCGCAACCCUUGUCAGUUAUUGCUACGAAAGGGCACUCUAUCGAGACUGCCGGUGACAAAACUGAGGAAGGUGGGGAUGACGUCAAGUCCUCAUGGCCCUUAUGGGUAGGGUUUAACACGUCAUACAAUGGUCGGGACAGAGGGUCGCCAACCCGCGAGGGGGAGCCAAUCAGGUGAAACCCGGAUCGUAGUCCGGAUCGCAGUCUGCAACUCGACUGCGUGAAGUCGGAAUCGCCAGUAAUCGCGGAUCAGCAUGUCGCGGUGAAUACGUUCCCGGGUCUUGUACACACUGCCCGUCACACCAUGGGAGUGGGGUUUUACCAGAAGUAGUUAGCCUAACCGUAAGGAGGGCGAUUACCACGGUAGGAUUCAUGACUGGGGUGAAGUCGUAACAAGGUA